ensembl:snoRNA
UACCCAGCCAAAUAAUCUGCUUAUCUCAAGUGUGCUUCUGUAGAAAUUUAGGAAAGGCUGGCAAUAGUUGUUAGAUUU